UGGAUUGAAACGCCAUGCUCAGGCUGGCGAGUGCGCCACUCAUCA
rnacentral:misc_RNA from 1 species